CCUACGGGAGGCAGCAGUGAGGAAUAUUGGUCAAUGGACGCAAGUCUGAACCAGCCAUGCAGCGUGCAGGAAGACGGCCCUAUGAGUUGUAAACUGCUUUUGUACGAGGGUAAAUCCCGACACGUGUACCUUGUUGUAUGUAUCUUACGAAUAAGGAUCGGCUAACUCCGUGCCAGCAGCCGCGGUAAUACGGAGGAUGCAAGCGUUAUCCGGAUUUAUUGGGUUUAAAGGGUGCGUAGGCGGUUGGAUAAGUUAGAGGUGAAAGCCCGGGGCUCAACCCUGACACUGCCACUGAUACUGGCGGGCUAGAGUAUAGUUGCGGUAGGCGGAAUGUAUGGUGUAGCGGUGAAAUGCAUAGAGAUCAUGCAGAACACCGAUUGCGAAGGCAGCUUACCAAACUGCGACUGACGUUGAGGCACGAAAGCGUGGGGAGCAAACAGGAUUAGAUACCCGUGUAGUC
rnacentral:rRNA from 1 species